UCAGUUCUAAAGUCCAGCUCAUGCACCUGUGCCGUUGGGGCAGAGAGGAAGCGGCUAUUUCUACGCUCAGUGCUCAAAACCGUGGGCACUAAGAAUGGUUUGUAGCCAGACAUCA